AUUGAACGCUGGCGGCAGGCCUAACACAUGCGAGUCGAGCGGAUGAGUGGAGCUUGCUCCAUGCUUCAGCGGCGGACGGGUGAGUAAUGCCUAGGAAUCUGCCUGGUAGUGGGGGACAACGUUUCGAAAGGAACGCUAAUACCGCAUACGUCCUACGGGAGAAAGCAGGGGACCUUCGCGCCUUGCGCUAUCAGAUGAGCCUAGGUCGGAUUAGCUAGUUGGUGAGGUAAUGGCUCACCUAGGCGACGAUCCGUAACUGGUCUGAGAGGAUGAGCAGUCACACUGGAACUGAUACACGGUCCAGACUCCUACGGGAGGCAGCAGUGGGGAAUAUUGGACAAUGGGCGAAAGCCUGAUCCAGCCAUGCCGCGUGUGUGUAGAAGGUCUUCGGAUUGUAAAGCACUUUAAGUUGGGAGGAAGGGCAGUAAGUUAAUACCUUGCUGUUUUGACGUUACCAACAGAAUAAGCACCGGCUAACUUCGUGCCAGCCGCCGCGGUAAUAC
rnacentral:rRNA from 1 species